GCCAGACUUGGAACCGGGAGAGGUAAGAGGUACUACAGGGGUAGGAGUGAAAUCUUGUAAUCCCUGUGGGACCACCUGUGGCGAAGGCGUCGUUACCAGAACGGGUUCGACGGUGAGGGACGAAAGCUGGGGGCACGAACCGGAUUAGAUACCCGGGUAGUCCCAGCCGUAAACGAUGCUCGCUAGGUGUCAGGCAUGGCGCGACCGUGUCUGGUGCCGCAGGGAAGCCGUGAAGCGAGCCACCUGGGAAGUACGGCCGCAAGGCUGAAACUUAAAGGAAUUGGCGGGGGAGCACAACAACGGGUGGAAGCCUGCGGUUUAAUUGGACUCAACGCCGGACAACUCACCGGGGGCGACAGCAAUAUGUAGGCCAAGCUGAAGACUUUGCCUGAAUCGCUGAGGGGUGGUGCAUGG
rnacentral:rRNA from 1 species